rnacentral:rRNA from 1 species
AGAGUUUGAUCCUGGCUCAGGACGAACGCUGGCGGCGUGCUUAACACAUGCAAGUCGAACGGAAGGGCCCUGCUUUUGUGGGGUGCUCGAGUGGCGAACGGGUGAGUAACACGUGAGUAACCUGCCCUUGACUUUGGGAUAACUUCAGGAGACUGGGGCUAAUACCGGAUAGGAGCUCCUGCUGCAUGGUGGGGGUUGGAAAGUUUCGGCGGUUGGGGAUGGACUCGCGGCUUAUCAGCUUGUUGGUGGGGUAGUGGCUUACCAAGGCUUUGACGGGUAGCCGGCCUGAGAGGGUGACCGGCCACAUUGGGACCGAGAUACGGCCCAGACUCCUACGGGAGGCAGCAGUGGGGAAUAUUGCACAAUGGGCGGAAGCCUGAUGCAGCAACGCCGCGUGCGGGAUGACGGCCUUCGGGUUGUAAACCGCUUUCGCCUGUGACGAAGCGCGAGUGACGGUAAUGGGUAAAGAAGCACCGGCUAACUACGUGCCAGCAGCCGCGGUAAUAC